rnacentral:rRNA from 1 species
GUACUAAGGUAGCAUAAUCACUAGCCUCAUAAUUGGAGGAUUGCAUAAACGAAAUAACGAACUAAUAAUAACUCCACAAGAACAAUAAACAAACUAAUAUUGAAGUAAAAAAGCUUCACAACAAAAGAAAGACGACAAGACCCCAACGAACUUUCAAUACUUAUAUUAAGCUGGGGCAGCUAAACAAAUAAACCUUAAUUCACAACAAAAAUAAAUCUAUUUCAAAUAAACCCAAAACAAGUUACCGUGGGGAUAACAGCAUAAUACAGUGCAGAAGAACUAAUUCAACACUAAAAUUAUGACCUCGAUGUUGAAUUAUCUCCCCCUAAUAAGAAAAAUUAUUAACCCCAGGUCUGUUCGACCAUAAAGAGAUACAUGAU